AGUGGAAUUGCUGGAUCAUAUGGUAAUUUUAUGUUUAACUUUUUGAGGAACUGCCAAACUGUUUUGCACAGUAGCUGUACCAUUUUACAAUCCCAUCAGCAAU
rnacentral:pre_miRNA from 1 species